rnacentral:rRNA from 1 species
GGAGGGAGGCGCGUCCUCGUCCGGUGCGUGCUCUUGGCCAUGCCCACCUUCGCGCUCAUGGCCCUUAGAGCGCCCAGGAAAUUCCUCAAGGAGAUCGACAAGGCGCGCCGACGGUUCCUUUGGGCGCAUGACGACGACGCCUCGGGCGGAAAAUGCAAAGUUGCAUGGAAGGACGUCACGGAGCCGGAGAGUCAUGGCGGCCUGGGCAUUCAUGAGCUCUCGCGCUUCGCACGGGCGCUUCGACUGUGAUGGCUUUGGCUAGCCUGGAAGCAGCCCGCGCGCCCCUUGGUGGGCACGGGGACACCCUGUGACGAGGCGGAUCGCGCUCUGUUCGUGGCAUCAACGAUAGUCACCAUUGGCAACGGCGACACUGCCACCUUCUGGCACUGCCCUUGGCUGGGCGCGCGCCCGCAAUGCCAAGCCUACCCGGCACUGUUUUCCCUGUCCUCCAGGAAGAACCGAACGGUCUGGGCCGCGCUGCAGGGGGGACAGAUGGGUCUUGGACCUGAGGGGUGGCGCCGCUGA